rnacentral:tRNA from 1 species
CCAGAGGUGGCAGAGCGGUCGAUUGCACCGACCUGAUAAGUCGGCGGCUGGGAAACCGGCCCACGGGUUCGAAUCCCGUCCUCUCCAC